rnacentral:rRNA from 1 species
CCGGUAGGGUAACCUGCCCGUCAGAGGGGGAUAACAUCCGGAAACGGAAUGCUAAAACCGCAUAGGUCUUCGAGCCGCAUGGCUUGAAGAGGAAAAGAGGCGCAAGCUUCUGCUGAUGGAUGGACCCGCGGUGCAUUAGCUAGUUGGUGAGGUAACGGCUCACCAAGGCCGUGAUGCAUAGCCGACCUGAGAGGGUGAUCGGCCACAUUGGGACUGAGACACGGCCCAA